UUCAAGAAUAAGCAACUCGAUUUUAUGACCCAAGACUUAAUGAAGGUGAAAAAAAACCUUUGAGUGACGUUCCCCAGGGGAGUUUUGGAAUUUUUGAGGGAACUUGUGGAAUGUGUGAGGAAAGGUUUUACCUCCUGGAUCAAGACCAGAAUAAAAGGUGGGCUGGAAGGAAGGAAGUCAUCAGCUACAGCGACAGGAGACCACUUGGUCCUUGUCUGUCUCCACAUCCAAUAGUGUUAGAUGAAUCAGAACAGAGAAAUUCCUCAACUCUCUCUCUUAUUUUUCUUUUUCCUUUACUUUUUUUUCCCCAGACGAGACAGAAAUCCCCGUAUUUGUGGAACUGGCAUCAAUUUCUGCCACUAAAAAUGACAUGUGUAUCGAUACAGUGAGUUUCUUCCGUGAUACCAUGGCUGCUUUUGCCCCCAUCAGAUUAGACCCGAGUCCCACAGCUGAGUUUGACCCGUUCGCUGCAGCUCCAUCUUUCGCCAGAGAAGCCAUCGCAAAAGACAGUGAACUUCCCAAGAAGCUGAAAGAUUCCUGUGACAACAGAGAGUGGAUAAAGAUGGUUCACGACUCUCAUGGCUCUGUGGAGCAUUCUUUGAUCUCUCAAGCCGGAAGCAUCAACAGAAAUGGGGUUUUUUACCAUCUCGGCACCUUCAAAAUUCAAGGCUAGGCUAGAAGACUGCGUCUCAUUGUGACUGCUCAAUGACAGCGAGGAGAGCACAUCUCCAGCAGACCAAAAGACCAAGAAAUACAGUUUGUCUCAGCUCGUGGCACUCCAGAAUGAGCUGACGUUGGUGGCCACCAAGGUUGAGCAAGGCAGGGAGGAGGCAAACCGUUUCCUGGAGCUGUGCUGUCUCCUGCCUGAUGUCAUAAUGCACCUUCAAAUGAUGCGGGCUGAUGUCACAGGGGGAUGCCCCACAUCACAGGGAGGUCUCCCCAGCGCCACGUGGGUGCUGGCAUUUCCCGGCGAGGCCUGGGAGCUGCUGGGCACUGCUCAGGGGCUCUCCACUGCUGCCCUUCGGAGCUGCUCCACAGCCAGGAGCAGGGUCAGGAGGCAGCGGGGCUGUGCUGGGGGACCCUCGCUGACAGGCAGAGCGGAGGCACGUCAGAGAGGAGUUUUGGGAGAGGAGCUGCGAAGAGCAUCCCUUUCCCUGAGCUGAGGGCAAGCAGCCAGCGCGAUGGAGGGCUGCUGCACCGUGGCCGUCAGCUUGGAGCUGAGCAGCUCGUUCC